rnacentral:rRNA from 1 species
GACAGAGGGUGCAAACGUUGUUCGGAAUUACUGGGCGUAAAGCGCACGUAGGCGGCUUUGUAAGUUAGAGGUGAAAGCCCGGGGCUCAACUCCGGAAUUGCCUUUAAGACUGCAUCGCUAGAAUUGUGGAGAGGUAAGUGGAAUUCCGAGUGUAGAGGUGAAAUUCGUAGAUAUUCGGAAGAACACCAGUGGCGAAGGCGACUUACUGGACGCAUAUUGACGCUGAGGUGCGAAAGCGUGGGGAGCAAACAGG